rnacentral:rRNA from 1 species
UGCGCAGGCGGCCGUGUGUGUGAGGCGUGAAAGCCCGGAGCUCAACUCCGGAAUUGCACCUCAAACUACACGGCUAGAGCAUUGGAGAGGGUAGCAGAAUUCACGGUGUAGCAGUGAAAUGCGUAGAUAUCGUGAGGAAUACCAGAGGCGAAGGCGGCUACCUGGACAAUUGCUGACGCUCAGGCACGAAAGCGUGGGGAGCAAAAGGGAUUAGAUACCCCUGUAGUCCACGCCCUAAACGGUGCACACUAGGUCUUGGCGGAUUCGACCCCCCCAGGGCCCAAGCUAACGCGUUAAGUGUGCCGCCUGAGGACUACGGCCGCAAGGCUAAA